CAGUAAAUGUAUCCAAUAAGUUGAUUCGUGUUCCCUGCUUAAGUUGUUAGCGCUACCCAUUUUUGAUUUUUCUUCAAAAAAGUUUAAACACGCAGAGAAACCCUAAAAAUCAAAGAUUAGAGUUACGAAGGUUGUAUCUCUCGAUCAUCUGCAAACCCUAAAUCUUGUGUCUGCCAAAUCCGAUCAUCUCUAAAUCUUGCAGCGCUAAGUGUUCGGUUUGUUUCGUUGACGGAAUCUUGUUUUCUUCAAGAUACGGUUCAAAUGUGCGCCGGAGUUUCGAAAAGCAAUGUAUUCAUUUUCUCAGACACUCGAAAGGAUGAUAAGAAGUUGUGUUUGAUCAAUGAUGAUUCCACAACAGCAUUACAUGGAGCCAACUCUAACACUAUGGUAUCUUUUGCUGGUGGACGGGAACUGAAUGUAGGCAGGCCGCUGGAUCAUCUCAAUGAUAAUAAAAGCCACUUGCUAAGCUCAACCUUCAAUCAUGAAGAAAUUUCAAUGACGAUUAGCCUAGUUGGACAGCUCCAGCUUCUCUCUUCAACAGUGACUAUGCUGGCAGUACCAACCCCUUCUCUGACUGCCACUAAAGGAAAGCAUUGUCAAUUUACUUAUGAUUUAAAAGUUGCCUGAUGCCUUCAAUGUUAUAUUAUAUGAAUUGAAUUUUAUUCUUUCAUAAUAGAAGCGAUGGAUUUGUUGCGAUUUAAUGACCCUGAAUGCAAAUAUAGACGGAGAAUUGCCACUGCGAGAUGGAAUAUGGGAUGCCUCAAUGACCCAAACUGAAUUAUGAAGGAUGCCUGAUCUGCAUGUUGGAGAUAAAUGGAGUAAAUUCUCAUAACUAUGAUGGCUUAGAGGUUGAGAAAAUGAGGACAAUAAGGAGGAUAACACUGAAAAAGGAUAAGAAUUGGGGGAAGAAUAACAGAUGCAAGGAAACUUUGUCAAGGAGAUAAAACCAUAUAUCAAAGAUUUUUGAUUUGUUUCUACGCAUGUUUUAGGCUAACCAGUUGAAGUGCAGUUCUGGAUAUGGAUGAAAUGCAUCUGAUUUUACCAUAUAUCAAGGGAAAAUGAAAACUUGGUAAAGGGACUUGUGCAGAGAUGUACUGAUUGGACAGAACCUGCAGGUUGCAGCUACAAAGUCAAUAGGAGGAGUCUAGGACGUGAAAUGAAAAUGGAAUGUGAAUUACUGUGGGAGGGGGCGAAUGCGUGUUUUUUUGAAGCAAUUUUAUGUUAAAUUGCCAAUGGAUAUGGAAUGUGAAUUAAUGACCAAAAGUGCUCCCAAACACUCACUUAGCCUUAUAACCCUAAGUAUUACUUUGUUCCAUGAUUUUUGUAAGGGAUAAGAUGUCUUGAUGACCCUAAAGUAAAAUGCAUUAGGAGCUUUUGCAACUAUAAAUAUGCACAAAGUAAUAAUAAAUAAAAUUUUAAAUAUGCAUAAUGAGGUUUGUGUUACUUGAUUUUCUAUUUGAAAUCUCUAGAUUAGUAUCAUAGCCAACAUUUCAUGAGUUAAUUAAGGUCUGAUGUGUGAAUGACCAACAUGUUAUUGAGAUUACAUGCUUUGUUUGUGUGUAUCAAAGAUUUGAUGUGCCAUAUGUAUGCAUAAUUGGUGUAUAAGUAUGACUAUCAUGGUUGUUUUAUGAAAUGAUAAUGAAAGGUUCUGGUAUAAUAUGCUUUGAAUGCUUAUAUAAAAAUCGAUCAACUACAUAAGAAUCUGAGGCAAGUGAUAGUUGACGAUGGCAUGUAAGGUUUUCAGAUUUUGGAAGUGGGUUAUAAGGACUAUGACUUCUGAUUUUAAUUGAUUUAUGUUUCUGGUAAGUCUAAAUAGGUCAUUUGAAAAAUGACAAGUGAUUUAGGUUGUCACUAUAGUUAAGAAAACCACAGAUGAUGCAAGAUGGCUUAAAAUUGGAAAAGUUGGAAAAGUUCUAUUUUUGUUGCAUAUUACUUUGCUAUUGUGUUUUACAUUAAUUCCUCAUCAGAGUGACAUGAUAGUUCUUGAUUACCUAUGAACUAUUUGACUAAAAAUGUAUGUUGCAUCAUAAAUAUGAUAAGUUGGAAGUUUGAAGAGUGAUAGAAAUAAGGGUAAAAUAGUGUUUAUAGUCAGUAAUGUUAGCGAAUUUUGGUUUAUUUUCUUGUAAUAUUAUUUUUUCAAUUAUCCCUCUAUAAUGUUAAAAUUCCGUCCUUUUAGCUGCUCAUUAAAUAUGUUGGCUUAAGAUUUCACUUAAAUGAUAACGUGUCAUACUUACUUAGGGGUAAACUGAAAUUCACUAACAUUGAAAUUUAACCCUAGAAACCAAUACGAAGACGGCUAAUUUUGAUGAAGACAUUGGUAGAAAAGUAUUUUGUAAAGGCGGUAUGUGACUAGACUGUUUCCGGAUAAUACUAAGUCACCACUAAUAGAAAUUCGAUCAUUGUUCCCGUGAGCUUAACUCAGUUGGCAGGGAC